CCUGUUGCCUGCGCUGGAGAGAAGCCAGAUCUGCGUGAAGUUUGCUCAGUGUCACUCCUCGUGUGCCCUAGACCAUGGCGGCGGCGGCGGCGGCGCUUCCUGUAGCCAAGACGGCACCGGAACCGCCGGAAAUCGAUCUGAUUAGCUCUCUCCCCGGUGAGAUCCUCAGCAUAAUCAUAUCCCUCCUCCCCGUCGACUCCGCCAUGCGCACCACAUCCCUCUCCCGCCGCUGGCGUCCCCUAUGGCGCUCCUCCCCGCUCAACCUCGACGUUUCCCACAUCGACGGGCGCGUCCGCGACCGCGCCGCCGCCGUGUCCAAGAUCCUCUCCGAUCACCCGGGCCCCGCGCGCCGCUUCCUGACCGCCUGGCUCCACAUCAUCGACCCCGACGGCUGGCUCGGGUCCCCGGCCCUCCGAGAUCUUCAGGAGAUCGACCUAUGGCUCCCUCGGUACGAAAUUCCGAUGCCGCUGUCCGUCCUCCGCUUCGCAACGACCCUGCGCGUGGCCAGCUUCGGCAACUGCAGGUUCUUUGUCGACGACGCGCCGCCGCCGUUUAACUUCCCUUGCCUUGAGAAGCUCAGCAUGAGAUUUAUCUUCGUACGGGAAGACACCCUCCACGGCCUGCUCGAUGGCUGCCCUGUCCUCCAGAGCUUGCUGCUGGACAGGUGCCACGGCUUCUACUAUCUGGUCAUCAAUUCACCAACUCUCAAGAGAAUCGGCACAAACGACGGUCGGCAUGGCUGUCAACUAGUCAUAGAAAAUGCCCCCAGACUGGAAAGAUUGAUCAGAAUUAAUCCUCUUCCAGACUCAACCAUCCGGCUAAUCAAGGCACCGAAACUCGAGACCUUUGGCUUCAUGACAGACGACUUUACUAAACUCAAGCUUGGGUCUGCAAUUUCUGAGGGAUUGGUUGCUGGCAACUUGAAAGCUCUGAUGCGCAGCGUCAAGGUUUUGCAUCUCACGUCUAGUGGCCCUAAUCUUGAUGCAGUCAUAGUCUUCCUCAAAAAAUUUCCUUGCUUGGAGAAGCUCUACAUCACGUCAUGUCCUGGAAAUGAUAUGGAGAAUGUGCAUCAUCUUCAACCACAAGAUCCUAUCGAAUGCCUCGAUCAUCUCAGAGAAGUAGAGUUGAAGCUUUAUAUUGGCAGCAGAACAGAUGUCAACUUUGCCAAGUUCUUUCUCCUGAAUGGUAAAGUGCUCGAGUUAAUGAGGUUUGGUGUCAAGGACCAAUAUACUGAGGAAUGGGUAGCUGAUCAACACAGUCAGCUACAUGUUGAUAGCAGGCCUUCUCCAAAUGCUCAACUUGAAUUUACAGCUGCUGAUGUUGGCAACCUUUUGACCAUAUUCUGUUCUUGACGGAUCCCUCCAGUGGCCUUGUGGACAAGGACUUCAUUCAUUCAGCAGACAGUAAUGUGCAUGACUGCACAUUUAGAGAUACAAACUUGGCCUCUAAUUGGACAACCGCCUUGAUCGUGAGGAAAUAAUGUUUCUGCAGAGGUUCUAAACAACACAUUGGUCAAGGCCGGCAUCACCGGCGCAUCGAAGCACGCCUGUCUAUUUGCUCGCUCAUCCUAGAACGACGCCUAUUGCCCUGGAAGUUGCGCUCCUGAUGUUCCUACUCAUGCCGUCCCUUCACAAGCUGCGUCGCCUUUAAGAUAAGUAAAUAAGCGGACCUCCUUUCCGGAGAUCAGAUCCAACCUCUCGCAAGGAGAAUAAGCUGACAAUACUGCCAAGAGAAGAGGAAGGAAUCCGGCUAAGAGAAGAGGAAGGAAUCCGGCUCGACGUUGCGUCACUGGCUCAUCCACGGUCCAAUGGGCAAGUCGGAUGGACCAAUGGGCUCACUUGCAAGGCCUCAAGCCUAGACUUCAGGUAGCUUUGGAGAGUAGUCGAUUGUUGGGUUGACAAGCUACCUUAUGUUCUUUGGAGUCUGCUGACUACUCCCAAUAGAUCAAUGGGUUACCUUUCUUCUUGGUGUAUGGAGCAGAAGCCGUCUUGCCGAGUGACAUCGUUCAUGACUCCCCAUGCGUUGCCGCCUACACAGAAGUGGAAGCCGAGUAGGCAAGACAAGAUAACAUUGAUCUCCUCGAGGAGGAACAAGAGGUCACACUCUCCAGAUCCGCCAUCUACUAACAAAACUUGAGUCACUACCAUAGCCGCCGGGUCAAACAAUGGCGGAGCUAUGUGUUACAAAAAUGGGUCAUGGCCCACCCUGCCGAGAGCAAAUACAGUGCAGAGGUUUGAAGUGAAUUGGGACAUGAGGACAAAAAUUAGUGGCCUUCCUUUGUACCGGCCCGCCCAGCUUUGGCUACCUAGCUCCGCCACUGGGAUCAAAGGCCAUUCUGUUAAGGAAGGCAACCUAGUGCUCCGCCUCAUAGAGAAGAGAACUGCAUGACAAGCUUUCUCCACCUUGGGAAGGACCCUUUGAUAUUACACAAAGUUCCUUUGUAGCUCGUCCUACAUGAAACCUCUUAUCUUCAGCCCUUUAACACUGCUUUGAG